rnacentral:rRNA from 1 species
AUUGAACGCUGGCGGCAGGCCUAACACAUGCAAGUCGAACGGUAACAGGAGGAAGCUUGCUUCUUUGCUGACGAGUGGCGGACGGGUGAGUAAUGUCUGUGAAACUGCCUGAUGGAGGGGGAUAACUACUGGAAACGGUAGCUAAUACCGCAUAACGUCGCAAGACCAAAGAGGGGGACCUUCGGGCCUCUUGCCAUCGGAUGUGCCCAGAUGGGAUUAGCUAGUAGGUGGGGUAACGGCUCACCUAGGCGACGAUCCCUAGCUGGUCUGAGAGGAUGACCAGCCACACUGGAACUGAGACACGGUCCAGACUCCUACGGGAGGCAGCAGUGGGGAAUAUUGCACAAUGGGCGCAAGCCUGAUGCAGCCAUGCCGCGUGUAUGAAGAAGGCCUUCGGGUUGUAAAGUACUUUCAGCGGGGAGGAAGGGAGUAAAGUUAAUACCUUUGCUCAUUGACGUUACCCGCAGAAGAAGCACCGGCUAACUCCGUG